GCCUCGGUAGCGUAGUGGUCAAGACGCUCGCCUGGUAACCUGGAGGGCGUGGGUUCGAUCCCAGCCGAGGUA
rnacentral:tRNA from 1 species